GACACUGCCUGGAGGCUGUUAACGCGCGCUUUGGAAAGAGGAAGAAUAAGGGGAAAGAUUUAGACCCAGCUCCGCCUGGACUUGACUUUGGAUAUUUUGACCUCGAGGAACUUGGGGACCGACAUUCCUGGUUUGGACCCAAGCCUCAUCCCCUGAUUGCAUCCCCUCCACUCGUACCGACUCUUAAGACAGUAUUUUCAAUGAUAUAGCAACUUCCUUUUAUAGCAUCCCCUGGUCCUGCAUUCUCUGUUGCGGAGUGCUUUUAACUUAGCUGAUGGGCACUUGACAUCUGAUGCUUCUGGGGCCAGGAUGAGGAGGAGCUUAGCUCCCAGCCAGUUGGCCAGGAGGAAACCAGAAGACAGAUCAUCAGAUGAUGACGACUGGCAGCCUGGGACAGUAACUCCUAAGAAACGCAAGUCCAGCAGUGAGACCCAGGUCCAGGAGUGUUUCCUGUCUCCUUUUCGGAAGCCCUUGACUCAGCUACUCAACCGGCCACCUUGUCUGGAUAG